GUUCUUGUAGUUAAAUUUUGAUAACAAUGGCUUUUCAAGCCGUAGGUCCUGGAGAGAGACCAGGCAGGAACU
rnacentral:tRNA from 1 species